rnacentral:misc_RNA from 1 species
UUUCAUUUUAUUUAUUACAACUCCAUACCAGAGAUAAACAUCCCAUGGCGACUUCCGACGUUAACCCAGUGUUCAAAGAGUUGCAGACUUUGACGAAAAAACUUGCGGAAUUGGAGGCUUCAAACGCCAAGGUUUUGAGAAAACUGACGGAGGACAACAAAGAAAGGUUGGACAGUUCUUUGACCACAAAUAUAACAGAAUUCCUCGCCAACUUAAACUCCUUGAAAAUUGAAAGUGGUAGUAGAGACAAAGAAUUAAGGAUACUGAAAGAUAAUGUCUCCAAAUUAAAGGAAGGAAUCGCUGAACUUUCGUCAAGCAUUAGCGGCUUUAAAAAUGAAGACAUUUCUGCGUCUUGGAAUAAAGAUUCUGAUAAUUCAAAGAGAUCUGUUGACAAAACAACAGAUAAAGAACCAAAACAAAGAACAUUAACAUUACCAGCUGAUUCAAGUAGAAAUAUACCUGCUUCAGCAAAUGUAGAUAGCGGAAGGAAACAGGUACCAAGUGAGCAGCAGUCAGAGACGUGCCAAGAAGAGCUGGUGAGUACAGUUAAGGAGGUCAUUCAGUCGCAGGGGUCUCCUGAACAACCACCCAUCUCUAGAAAUAAAUACGGACUCAAAUAUCGAUCUGUGAGCAUCAAGAAUGACAAUCGCGUGAAAGUGUUAGAAGGCAAAGAAAGAGAGACAGACCAAUCUUUCCAGAAUAAAUCCUCAUCCCAAACAAAAGACAAACUUAAUCUGCCGACGAGGGACGCAAUAAAGAAACUCCAAUUGACACCAAAGGCAGAAAGAACCAGCGCAAGACCGAAACAGAAACCUCAUCCUUUAUCAACCAAGAACGAGUACAGAAACCUCGCCGGGUUAAAUAAAGAUCCGGACGAUGUUAAUGAAGUUAAAGACUUGAAUAGCUGGAAAAGAUUAGCAGAAGAAGAAAAACUAAAGGGUCAAAUUCUAAGUCCAUUGAAGAAAGGGAAAGGACCGGAUACUUGUUUAUUGUUAGAUAUGUCUGGAAGUAUGACGGGAGAACCAUUUAAUGAAAUGAUGGCGGCAGUUAGAGUAUUUGUGGAAGGUAUAUCAACCAUAUCCGUAGCAUUGGGGAUUAACGAAAACAUAGGAAUUGCUACGUUUGGGACACAGACAGAAGUAGUACUACAUAUGACGAAUGAAUAUGACAAAGUUCUAGAAGCACUUGAAUUAAUGUUUCCUUCUGGACCCUCUCCUAUGGCCGCUGGAAUGUACAUGGCACUAGCAUGCUGUCUGGGUCACGGUCACCGAACAACUAUAGGAAAAAUUCCAGUAGGGGGCAGAAUCAUUCUGUUCAGUGAUGGUAAAGGAACACCUGACACCACAACAGCAGGAGAGGAUGAUCUCGAGUCCCCGUUUGAAUUUAUGAAAGACGUUUGGCUAAAAGAAGCUGCAGAUGAUCUUGAAAAAAGGAAGAUUCGAGUAUAUGCUGUCCCCGUUUGUAGUUCUGAACCGGAAAUGAUGGAAACAGUCUGCAAAACAACACAUGGAAAGAUGUACAACAUCAAUGAGACCCAUAAACUUAUCAAAAUGACCCAAAAUACGAUACAAGCGAUCAAUAUGAUUGAGGAUGGAUUUGAUUUUGAUGGUGCAUCAGCAGGGAAACAAAGCUCGCCGGAAUUUCCCAAACAUAUGCUUGGACCAGACUGGGAAGAAGUUGAACAUCUGGGAAAGUUUUUGAUUAAUGAGGAAUCUUUCAUGAGUAAUAGAGAGCUUGAAGGUAGUCACCUCCCUCCAUUAGGUUCUCGGGUCAGAAGAGGACCAGAUUGGAAAUAUAAUAACCAGGAUCAGGGUGGACCAGGGACAAUAGUAGGCCAUGAUGGAGAGACCUUGUAUUGGUCGACGAGCCGCGUGUUCUUUUUGACGAAAUAAUUGCUGUGGGAUGUUUAGUUGAACGAGUAACUGACUGGAAAUAUGGAGACCAAGAUGGUGGAAUUGGAAGCAUUGGGGUUGUUAUCAAUGUCAACGCAAAUGGAAACAUACUCGUCAGAUGGCCCAAUAAAAAUAAGUGCCGUUAUAAAUUUGGAUGCGACGGUUUGUUUGAAGUCAAAUUAUGUGAUCGAAAAAAUAUACAUGAAAGGAGCAGAACACAAGUCACAAAACAGGAAAAACCUGUGAUGGGCGCUGAAAAACGUGAAUCGACCAGCAUAUUUAAAUUGGACAAGCAUGAAGAGGAUCGCAAGAGUCUGAAAGUGGAAGAACGUGUGUCUUUAGAAGAGUUAAAUAGACGCAACCGUCAAAUGCAACCUAAGGAACAAACAGAUUUAGACAAAAUAACAUGGACAUAUAAAAAAGACGGGGAAUGGCAUUGUAUACCAAAAGAUAUCAAUGAUAAAAUGGAGAAAGCGUAUGGUCGUAACAAACAUGGUUCAACAAUUCUUGAGCUAGAUGGACAUAUAUGGAGAGCAAAGUUCUCUGAUAUGAAAAUGAUAUGUCAGAAAACACACGCAUGUACUGAGAUAGCGAGGAAAGAGUCUGGUAUUUAGUUGAAGGACGGAUAUAUCCUAAUCAAGAUUGACUCAAACAUCAAAAAUGACCAAAUGAAGAGGCUGAUGUCUUGAAAUUAUCUAUAUUUCAGGGAUAAAACAUUGUGCCUGAUUUUAAAAUUAUACAUUCAAUCUUAUGAUGAUGAAUGAAUGUUUAGAUAAAUCUACUUCAUAAUAUUUAUUUUAUCAAGAAUAAUAGUUAAGGAUGUAUUGAUAGGAACAUCAGAGCACUGAGUCAGAGUCUUAGAUAUGUUUUAUGUUUUGAAAUAAAAUUAUUGAUAAUUGUAACAAGAGAUACAUGUAACAGUUAAUGUUAUGAUGAAGGUUGUACAUAUACUUACUUUCCAUCGAAGAAAUAUGAAGAUGUAUAUAAAUCAUUUGUAACGAUCGAAAGCAUGAGUUUUAAAUAUUUUAAAAGUAUUUUAAAUAUAUAUGUAUGAACGCAUUGUACAUUGAUGUCAUUGUUGAUAGUUGAGUAAACCUGAUUAA